rnacentral:rRNA from 1 species
GACGAACGCUGGCGGCGUGCUUAACACAUGCAAGUCGAACGGAAAGGCCCUGCUUUUGUGGGGUGCUCGAGUGGCGAACGGGUGAGUAACACGUGAGUAACCUGCCCUUGACUUUGGGAUAACUUCAGGAAACUGGGGCUAAUACCGGAUAGGAGCUCCUGCUGCAUGGUGGGGGUGGGAAAGUUUCGGCGGGUGGGGAUGGACUCGCGGCUUAUCAGCUUGUUGGUGGGGUAGUGGCUUACCAAGGCUUUGACGGGUAGCCGGCCUGAGAGGGUGGCCGGCCACAUUGGGCCUGCGAGACGGCCCAGACUCCUACGGGAGGCAGCAGUGGGGAGUCUUACGCAAUGAGCGGACGCCAGAUGCAGCAGCGCCGCGUGCGGGAUGACGGCCUUCGGGUUGUAAACCGCUUUCGCCUGUGACGAAGCGUGAGUGACGGUAAUGGGUAAGAAAGCCCCGGCUAACUACGUG